rnacentral:tmRNA from 7 species
GGGGUUGUUUAGACUCGACAGGGUGUACUUUCAAAAUAGGCAAGCCGACCUCGUUGGUAUGGUCGUAAAACUCGCCAUCACGAUGAUAAAUGCAAACUUCAUCACAAAGACAAAGAAUGCAAUUGCGCAAGCUUUUGCCCCUUCUUUCGCUCUUGCUCUCGCCUAAUUUACUUUAGCGCGUAGCCAUCAGAAUCCGGAUUCUCGAUACGGAAUCUCUGGUGUCAUAACAUCGAGACGACGCGAGGUUAUUUUUUUUCUUUCGAUCUCAACUUGUACUGCAAAAAGGAAAGACUGUAUGAGAAUUUUGUCUGCUUUCUACCUCAUAUUUUUAUACAAAGCACUCUAAGCUUGUAGAAUAUUUUGGAAAAACAUUUCUGGACAUGGGUGCAAUUCCCAUCAACUCCACAU